rnacentral:tRNA from 1 species
GGAGUUGUGGCUCAGUGGUAGAGCACUUGCCUAGCAUGUAUGAGGCACUGGAUUCGACUCUC